GGGGAAAUGUCUGAGUGGUCUAAAGAGCUUGAUUGCUAAUCAAGUGUAUAAUUUUAUACCGAAGGUUCGAAUCCUUUUUUCUCCG
rnacentral:tRNA from 2 species